UGACGUCAUAAGGAGUGCGCGCGGCUCUCGUCUGUCGGUGAAUGGAGAGAAGAUUGAGGUAGAUGCUGAAGAAACAAUCUUAAAUGACACAAUCUUCAUUGAAGUCCCUAUCACACAGUUCAUCUAUAAAUACUGUGAAGAAGUCAAACAAGCAGCUGCUGUCACAACACAUUCAACUACUCUACUAUUCUGAUCCACUGUUGUAAUGAUGGAGUGUGUUAAAGAGGAGACUGAUCCUGAAUCAUUCACAAUAACACCUCAACAUACUUAUCAACAAAGAGGUUUGUCUCUUAUCUUAAUGAAUGAUGAAGAGCAUCUUAAGGAACAUAAAGUAAGUCACACUGAUGAGAGGACCUUUGCAUGCCCUCAGUGUGAUAAAUGUUUUAAACAGAAAAGAAAUCUUAAUGCUCACAUAAAGACUCACACUACUGAAAGGCCCUACAGCUGCCCUCAAUGUGAAAAGACUUACAGAUAUCAAUGGCACCUUAAGGAACAUUUAAUGAUUCACACUGGCGAGAGGCCCUUCACCUGCCCUCAGUGUAGUAAGGGUUUUUCAUUUAAAAGAAGGCUUGAUGCUCACUUAAAAACUCACACUGGAGAAAAGACAAACAUCUGCCAUGUGUGUGAAAAGAAUUACAAAUCUAAAGAGUCCCUGAAACAACAUAAAAAAAGUCACACUGACCACAAGCCUUUCUCUUGCCCUCAAUGUGAAAAAAGUUUUAUACGAAGAGAACACCUUAAUUUUCACAUGAGGAUUCACAGUGAUGAUGGGCUUCACACCUGUCCUCAUUGUGGGAGGAGUUUCACAACAAAAACCCAUCUGCAGGAUCACAUUCGAAUUCACACUGGAGAGAAACCUUUCAGGUGCCCGCAGUGUGACAAGAGUUUUAAACAACGUAUACAUCUUCUGUCUCACAUACGAAUUCAUACAGGUGAGAAGCCUUACUCAUGCCAUCUGUGUGAUAAAAGUUACAGACAGGGACAUGGUCUUAAAUAUCAUCUGCUGGCUGCCCAUUCUGAAAAAAAAAUCUAAAAGUGUUCACAUUGUGUAAAGAGUUUUAUUGAGUCUGUGCUGCUGAUAAAACACAAGUGACUGUAUACUGAAGAGAAGCUGCACCGCUGUCAUUCAUGUUGGAGAAGUUUCAGACGAUCACACAGCUGCAAGCACCUAAUGUGAAAUGCAGAGAAACCUCACGAUUGAAUUACUCCAAAAUAUAUAAAUUUUAAUGAAUUAGAUAAAGUGGUGAAAUUUGUUACUGUAGCUCAACUUGUAGAGCAUUGUGUUAAAAGUUCAAAAGGUCAAGGGUACACUGUCAGAAAUAAAGGUACAAAACUGUACCUUUUCUGUCACUGGGGCUGUACCCUAAGUUUCUGUUUGGUACCUUUACAGGAAUACAAAACAGAAUACAAUUUUGGGUAGAUUACCGUACCUUAAGGACCUACAUUGUUAGAAAAAAGUCAAAAUAUGUACCCUAGCUGUCAGUGGGGCAGCACCUUUUAAGAAGGUAAUUGUAUGGACCAUUAGGUACAGAUAUGUAACCAUUUAGUACCAGUAUGUACCUUUGAGAUACUAAUAUGUAUUUUUGAGGUACUAAUAAGCUCUCUUUGGUCCCAGCAUGUACUUCUGAGGUACUAAAAUGAAAUCCUUAGGUGCAAAGCUGUACUUUUUGAAAGGGUACAGCCCCAGUGACAGAAAAGGUACAGUUUUGUACCUUUAUUUCUGAGAGUGUA